AUUUCUUACGCAUUAUAAAUACCUAUAUUAUAUAAUAUAUGAAUUAUGUAAUAUUCUACAUAUUUAUUAAAAAUAUAUGAUGGUAGAAAUCACAGACAUGCACUCAUAUAUAUAUGUAUAUAUAUCACAUAAAAAAGCAGAAGGCUAGCUCUACUUUCUUGUGACCACUUAAAGGCUGUGAGCGCUCAGUGCAGUAGGAGAUGUUUGGAGAAACAUUGGUCUUUAGUGCCUCCAGUGUCAGCACUGAAAUUUAACCACCUAAACACCAGAUCCUGCACCUAUGACAGAGUAACACCUGGUACAAGUACAAAAUGGGAGGGGAGUGGUUGGAGAGCAGCCCUACAGAGAGAGAUCUGGGUCAGCAGCAGAUCUGCUGGUCAGCAGCAGCUCAGUGUGCGUCAUCAGUGAGCCCUGGCAGCCAGGAGGGCAAACACCAUUCCUAGGGUGCAUCAAACAUAGUAUCACCAGCCAGGCAAAGGAGGGGAUUGUCCCACUGUAUUCAGCAUUAGUGUAGCCUCAUGUCAAGUACCAUGUGCACUAUAAGCAAAUUAAAGGUUAUAAUGAAGGCCAAGAGCAUUGAGUCUUAUUUUAUGACAUAGUAUAACCUCUGACAGAAAACUGCCAUUUAGGUAGCAUACCUAUACUAGAAACUGACAUUCUGAAUGCAGUUAUAAUAGUUAAGUGAAAUUCACACUUAUUCCCAGAUGUAUCUGCAACCAAGGUAUACAAAUACUCUGAUUUUUCUUUUUAUUGACAAAAGCAGAAAAAAAUAUAAUUAUUUUUUUCUGAAAAGACGUAGUUGAAAUUAAAGGCAAGGACAAAAAACUAUUUCUUAGCUUUGGUAAAGGUAUCAAAUGGUAGGCUUUUUCCACGAGGAAAAAUGUCCUUUAUAAUAGUAUUAAAGGGUCUUAAGACACUGACAGCAGAAGCAUCACUGAUGUUCAGACAGACAUCUCAGCAGAAAUAGUUGCAAGAGAUUGACUUACUGUAACAAGAAAGGCAACCUUCUGUCUUGAAGCUGUAUUAUCAAGGUCAGCCUUUUAUCAAUGUUCAAAAAUUCAAGCAUCUUGAUGAAGUCCCCCCUUCCUUCCAAAUCAUGACACUAUUUAAAAGAUAUUCUAUGACAUAAGACCAGCUACCUUAGGGCAUAUUAGCUAUAUGUCCCCCUCCCCCUGCCCAGUGAUGUUUUGUGCAUGGUUUGCCACAAUUUCCCCCCAUCCCUUCAUCUGUGUUUCUUAUUGUUCUUUCAAAGGCAGCAUGGAGGAGACUGAAAAUGAUUUAAAUUCAUCCCUCUCCUCCUCCUCCCCACACCUCUUCCUUUAUAUACACUGGUGUGUAGAUGAAAGUUACAGGCACUGUUUGCAAGACAGGAAUUUACAGAUUGACUGUAAGAAAGCCCCCCCUUCACCUGCAUCCACACUGAUACUCACUGGCCACAGCCUGAAACUAAGAAAACAUUAGAAGUGCAAAUACUGAAAGGAAUAAGUCUGCUUUUUGUGUUUUGCCAGGCAUAGAUUCAAAGCAAAAUGAAUGUACGCUUCUGAAAGAACAAUUGCUAAAAUCAACAGUGAGAACUGAGAAUCUGAUUGACUUCAGUGAACCCUCAGUAAUGCCCUUUCUGCUUAAAGAUCUGCUAUAAAAAUAAGAUCUCCUCAAAUGCAUAAAAAUAAGCUACAGUCCUAGAAGAGAGCUUGGCUGAAGUCAGCUGUAUUACAACAGGUCUGGAUUUCACUCAUGGGGAACAUAGCUUUUCCUUUACACUGAACAAUCAAAUUUGCCAAGCUUGUCUCUGGCAGCCAGACUUGACCAAGUGCAGUUGCUGCAGUACGGAAAGAAACAGUUCGAACUCAGCAUUUAUGGCUGUGCAGAGAUCCAGAGACUGUCACAAGGAGAUGAAGAGGAGCCCCCUUUCACCAUUUUGUUCGUCUCCCUCCCCAAGUAGCUACUUCUGUCCCUGGAGUUGUCCACAAUUCUCCACCGUAAACAUCAAGACUGAUAGACCAUCCCUAUCUCUUUGUGCUGACUAUAUGAAAUUUUAUGGACCAUCAAUGCUCUUAAGAGCACUCUGGAAAUGGAAUAGUAUCAUCAUUCAACUCCUUGCAGGACCAGUUGUGAGAACAGUUUUGAGCAAAACUGGAUGAAGCAGUAGUUUUAGUCUUAGUUUAGGUUUCUGGGGGCUAUGCAGCAGUCUUGCAGACAUUCAUGACUCUUCAGAGACUAGAGGAAAAAAUAUAGAUGAUGAUGAUGAUUAAUAAUAAUAAAUUAAUAAUAAUUAUAUAGUCAAAAUAUUAAAAAGAUUGCUUUUAUUUCUCUGUGAAAAUUGAAAUGUUGACCUUUCCUUUAGUCUGAUUUUGUAAAAGCCAGCUUUAUUUGACUCAAUAAAGUGACUAAACAGUAAGUAGAGUAGGGUAACUGUACACUAAAGUGGGAGGAAAAAUCAAAUGUCAGAUAAGAAUUGCCUGAGCAAAAGAAUGUAAGACCAUCUUUUAAGUCAUGAAAGGAGUCAAAGUAAGGUUGCCAAGGAAACCUUAACUUUGCUUUUCCUACGUUUUUGUUUUUUUUUUUUUAAUUGUGAACUUAGCCUCCUCAUUGUGCCAAAAUUAAUGGGAAUUUUGAGUCCUAUCAAUUAGUCUGUGGGUUUUGUCUUUCUUCUUUGUCUCUGUUCAUUUGUCAUAUGAUAUAUUAGAAUCUGAACAUACCUUUCUGAACAUCAUGUAUGCUAUGUACAGGGAAAAUGAUAAGGUUAAAGAAAAAAGACCUCUCAAUAGUCAUUUAAGGAAAGAGAGGCCCAUAAAAAAUGGAAGCACGGCGGCCUGUCUGUAUGGCUUUGAAUAACACCCUUCCCGAGAUAAAACCAUAUUGAUUGGACUGAUUCUAGAUAGCUGGCUUUGCAGCACCAUCUGCAUGCUGUGACAAUCUAUGAUUCUAAUUAUUUGGAAUUGUUAUUCAGGCUGAUAAAUUGUAUGAAGGAUUUUGUUUUCCAUCAAGUCAUUCUUCAUUCAGCACUGAUAGCAUCAUAAUUAAGUAGCAGUUGCUGGCUCUGAAUGUGGAUAAUUCAUAGGAAUUAUUUCUAAUAAACAAACAACAUAGAAUGUAUCAAAAACCAUCCUUAAAACAUAAUCUCUUGCUCUGUGUGCUGGAUCUAUUCCCUCUGAUACAACCCAAUCAGACAAAAAGCAGAGGCGGUAUUUGCACAUUUCGGCUUUCCUGUUCUGUGAGCUUUGUUAGGAAGUGUUAAA